CCUACGGGGGGCAGCAGUGAGGAAUAUUGGUCAAUGGGCGGGAGCCUGAACCAGCCAAGUCGCGUGAGGGAAGACGGUCCUAUGGAUUGUAAACCUCUUUAGGCGGGGAGCAAUGCCGGGCACGCGUGCCCGGAGGGAGAGUACCCGCAGAAUAAGCAUCGGCUAACUCCGUGCCAGCAGCCGCGGUAAUACGGAGGAUGCGAGCGUUAUCCGGAUUUAUGGGGUUUAAAGGGUGCGUAGGCGGAUUGUUAAGUCAGCGGUAAAAGGUCCGCGGUAAACCCGGGCCGGCCGUUGAAACUGGGGAUCUUGAGUGGGCGAGAGGUAUGCGGAAUGCGUGGUGUAGCGGUGAAAUGCAUAGAUAUCACGAAGAACUCCGAUUGCGAAGGCAGCAUACCGGCGCCCGACUGACGCUGAGGCACGAAAGCGUGGGGAUCGAACAGGAUUAGAUACCCGAGUAGUC
rnacentral:rRNA from 1 species